rnacentral:rRNA from 1 species
UACGUAGGGUGCAAGCGUUAAUCGGAAUUACUGGGCGUAAAGCGUGCGCAGGCGGUUUUGUAAGUCUGUCGUGAAUCCCCGGGCUCAACCUGGGAAUUGCGAUGGAGACUGCAAGGCUAGAAUCUGGCAGAGGGGGGUAGAAUUCCACGUGUGAGCAGUGAAAUGCGUAGAGAUGUGGAGGAACACCGAUGGCGAAGGCAGCCCCCUG